GGUUAAGCGACUAAGCGUACACGGUGGAUGCCCUGGCAGUCAGAGGCGAUGAAGGACGUGCUAAUCUGCGAUAAGCGUCGGUAAGGUGAUAUGAACCGUUAUAACCGGCGAUUUCCGAAUGGGGAAACCCAGUGUGAUUCGUCACACUAUCAUUAACUGAAUCCAUAGGUUAAUGAGGCGAACCGGGGGAACUGAAACAUCUAAGUACCCCGAGGAAAAGAAAUCAACCGAGAUUCCCCCAGUAGCGGCGAGCGAACGGGGAGCAGCCC
rnacentral:rRNA from 1 species